GUUUCGAAAAUCCAUUUUGUUUUUGACUUUUCGCGCGGUUAGCUGCUGUCCAGUGAUACAGCUAAGCACACUUCCGCUAAAUUCAAAAUGGCGAACAAAGUGGAGGGAAAAACAAAUGUACAAUUUGUAUGUCUUUUUGCCCAAGAACACGUGGAUUUUAGAAUAUCGGAGUUGUUAUCAGUCUCUGGUAUGUUUGGUUUUGAAGUAGUUGUGGACAGAAAGGACUACAGAAAAGAAAAUCCUUACCUUGAGAUUUGUCUGCCAAACAAAGACUGUGCAAAGAACCUGCUAUCAAGAACAGUUUCCAUUAAGUCUGUUUAUGAAUUGUGGGGACAAGGAGAAAAUUUAACAGCAUUAAAAGAUAACAUUCUCCAAUAUCCACCUGAUAAAAUGAACACUUUCACAUCCAGUGACAAAUCCUUUAAAAUUAGCAUUGAGUCCUUUAAUAAAAAGUUGUCUAUAAGUCAACAGAGGGAGUUUAUUGAUCAAUUCCAAUUCCUUCCUUUUCAAGGCUGUGUCAAUCUGACAGCACCUGAUAAUCUGUUUGCACUGCUGUUGGACUAUGGAGAUGACCCCAAUGAAGCCCCUCCAAUUCCUCAGAGGUUGUUCUUUGGUCGCUUGGUUGGGCAUGGUCAGCGUCACCUUUUCAAACAGUAUUCACUCAAGACGAGGCGUUUUAUUGGUAACACUUCCAUGGAUCCACAGCUGUCAUUCCUGAUGGCCAAUCAGGGACAGGUCCGUUCAGGCAGCCUCGUCUUUGAUCCCUUCGUUGGAACAGGUAGUGUUCUUGUGGCCUGCGCCCAUUUUGGUGCCCAUGUGAUAGGAAGUGACAUAGAUUAUACACUGCUUCACGGGAGAGGUAGAAGUUCACGAGCCAACAGGAAAGGCCAGUGGAGAGGUCGUGAUGAGAAUUUUCGGGCAAACUUCGCGCAGUAUGGACUCGACAGUUAUUUCGUUGACAUACUCAUAGCUGAUGCUGGGAGACUGGGACUGCGAGAAAUUCCUUUGUUUGAUGCAAUCAUAACAGACCCACCUUAUGGAAUCCGAGAAGGCGCUCGUAAGUUAGACACAAAUAUGGAAAGUCAGGAGGAAAAUGAUAGUGCUGAUCAGACGUCACCGUGUUCAGCGGUGCGUGGCUGUCGCCUGUCAGAAAUUCUCACGGCAUUACUGGAUCUGGGAGCUCGAUAUCUUGUUCUUCACGGCCGGCUCGUCUAUUGGCUUCCAAUUUAUCGGCCAAGUUACUCAGACGAGUUUCUGCCCAGUCACCCUUGCCUCAGACUUGUAGCGAACAGUGAGCAGUGUUUAUCAAGACACGUGUCUCGGCGACUGAUCACCAUGGAAAAGAUCAAAGAGCACACGGUGGGAGGUCAAAACAUGUCCGUGGUACAUCAAAAGUUCUUGGAAUCGUGUGAUAACUUUAGGGAUAACUACUUUAGCCAGCAAAGCACGUAACCAUUGAAAUGGUGUAUCAUGACAUCGAGGCACACCAUGUGCUCUUAACGCGAUGCACCGUAACGUAAUCGUGUGUGGCUGAAUAAUGGCGGUAUUAGCGAUGGUGUUUGAAAGUGAUGAACGGAAGCGGCUAGAUGCAUUUUUGUCUUCAAGGGACUCUACAAUGCUCAUGGUUUCGAAAGUAUCGAAAGUCGACUUCAAGAGCAGGACCACGCUGAAGAUUUGAAUGGGCAAAGAUAACCAAUAGUCACCUCUCGAGCUCAGUGCAAUGGCUCAAAUAUGAUGUAGCGUACUAUCAAUUCUGCGCCGUGGUACCACCUAUGUAUCGUACUUCUCUUGAUUUCUUGAGAUGAUUUCAUCCCAGUCUGGGUAAUAGAGCUCUUUCAUUCUCUGAGCAUGAGUGCGAAGGUUCUGUGCUUUUGUCUUGA
rnacentral:misc_RNA from 1 species